rnacentral:rRNA from 1 species
AUUGAACGCUGGCGGCAUGCUUUACACAUGCAAGUCGAACGGCAGCGCGGGCUUCGGCCUGGCGGCGAGUGGCGAACGGGUGAGUAAUACAUCGGAACGUGCCCAGUAGUGGGGGAUAGCUCGGCGAAAGCCAGAUUAAUACCGCAUACGACCUGAGGGUGAAGGCGGGGGAUCUUCGGACCUCGCGCUAUUGGAGCGGCCGAUGGCAGAUUAGCUAGUUGGUGGGGUAAAGGCCUACCAAGGCGACGAUCUGUAGCUGGUCUGAGAGGACGACCAGCCACACUGGGACUGAGACACGGCCCAGACUCCUACGGGAGGCAGCAGUGGGGAAUUUUGGACAAUGGGCGAAAGCCUGAUCCAGCAAUGCCGCGUGUGUGAUGAAGGCCUUCGGGUUGUAAAGCACUUUUGGCGGGAACGAAAAGGACUGUGCCAAUACCACGGUUCGAUGACGGUACCCGCAGAAUAAGCACCGGCUAACUACGUG